rnacentral:rRNA from 1 species
GACGAACGCUGGCGGCGUGCUUAACACAUGCAAGUCGAACGGAAAGGCCCUGCUUUUGUGGGGUGCUCGAGUGGCGAACGGGUGAGUAACACGUGAGUAACCUGCCCUUGACUUUGGGAUAACUUCAGGAAACUGGGGCUAAUACCGGAUAGGAGCUCCUGCUGCAUGGUGGGGGUUGGAAAGUUUCGGCGAUUGGGGAUGGACUCGCGGCUUAUCAGCUUGUUGGUGGGGUAGUGGCUUACCAAGGCUUUGACGGGUAGCCGGCCUGAGAGGGUGACCGGCCACAUUGGGACUGAGAUACGGCCCAGACUCCUACGGGAGGCAGCAGUGGGGAAUAUUGCACAAUGGGCGGAAGCCUGAUGCAGCAACGCCGCGUGCGGGAUGACGACCUUCGGGUUGUAAACCGCUUUCGCCUGUGACGAAGCGUGAGUGACGGUAAUGGGUAAAGAAGCACCGGCUAACUACGUG